UAUGAAACAGGGCAAAAUCAUUGAAAGAUGAUGACGCAAAGCUUUGGGUCUAAGUUAAGGAUGAAUAUCCUUAAUAUGAUCGCCAGGCUGCCAUA
rnacentral:ncRNA from 1 species